rnacentral:rRNA from 1 species
GAUCAUGGCUCAGAUUGAACGCUGGCGGCAUGCCUUACACAUGCAAGUCGAACGGUAACAGGUCUUCGGACGCUGACGAGUGGCGAACGGGUGAGUAAUACAUCGGAACGUGCCCAGUCGGUGGGGAUAACUACUCGAAAGAGUAGCUAAUACCGCAUACGAUCUGAGGAUGAAAGGCGGGGGACCUUCGGGCCUCGCGCGAUUGGAGCGGCCGAUGGCAGAUUAGGUAGUUGGUGGGAA